UACAUAUUCAUUGACACCCAACAGCAGGU
rnacentral:sRNA from 1 species